GCAGCCGCGGUAAUACGGAGGAUGCAAGCGUUAUCCGGAUUUAUUGGGUUUAAAGGGUGCGUAGGCUGUUGAGUAAGUCAGUGGUGAAAUGUAUCAGCUUAACUGAUAAAUUGCCGUUGAUACUGCUUAGCUUGAAUACUGUUGCCGUGGGAGGAAUGUGUAGUGUAGCGGUGAAAUGCAUAGAUAUUACACAGAACACCGAUUGCGAAGGCAUCUCACGAAACAGGCAUUGACGCUGAGGCACGAAAGUGCGGGGAUCAAACAGGAUUAGAUACCCC
rnacentral:rRNA from 1 species